GACGAACGCUGGCGGCGUGCUUAACACAUGCAAGUCGAACGGAAAGGCCUGCUUUCCCUUGUGGAUUGCGGGUACUCGAGUGGCGAACGGGUGAGUAACACGUGAGUGAUCUGCCCCCAACUUGGGUAUAAGCCUGGGAAACUGGGUCUAAUUCCCGAUAGGACUGCAGGGUGGUGCCUGUGGUGGAAAACGAUUUUCUAGUGGUUGGGGAUAAGCUCGCGGCCUAUCAGCUUGUUGGUGGGGUAAUGGCCUACCAAGGCGGCGACGGGUAGCCGGCCUGAGAGGGUGGACGGCCACAUUGGGACUGAGAGACGGCCCAGACUCCUACGGGAGGCAGCAGUGGGGAAUAUUGCACAAUGGGCGGAAGCCUGAUGCAGCGACGCCGCGUGGGGGAUGACGGCCUUCGGGUUGUAAACUCCUUUCGACCGCGAGGAAGCCACCUGGUUGGAAGGGUGGUGACGGUAGUGGUAGAAGAAGCACCGGCUAACUACGUG
rnacentral:rRNA from 1 species